rnacentral:rRNA from 1 species
GGGGUGCAACACGAGGACUUCCCAGGAGGUCACCCAUCCUAGUACUACUCUCGCCCAAGCACGCUUAACUGGGGAGUUCUGAUGGGAUCCGGUGCAUUAGUGCUGGUAUGAUCGCACCC